rnacentral:rRNA from 1 species
UAGGGAAUAUUGGACAAUGGGGGCAACCCUGAUCCAGCCAUGCCGCGUGAGUGAAGAAGGCCCUCGGGUUGUAAAGCUAUUUUGUCCGGAAAGAAAAGCAUUCGGUGAAUACCCGGAUGUUCUGACGGUACCGGAAGAAUAAGCACCGGCUAACUUCGUGCCAGCAGCCGCGGUAAUACGAAGGGUGCAAGCGUUACUCGGAAUUACUGGGCGUAAAGCGUGCGUAGGUGGUUG